rnacentral:rRNA from 1 species
AAUAGAUACCCGGGUAGUCCACGCCCUAAACGAUGUCGACUGGUUGUUGGGGGUUUGACACCCUCAGUAACGAAGCUAACGCGUGAAGUCGACCGCCUGGGGAGUACGGCCGCAAGGUUAAAACUCAAAGGAAUUGACGGGGACCCGCACAAGCGGUGGAUUAUGUGGAUUAAUUCGAUGCAACGCGAAAAACCUUACCUACCCUUGACAUGUCCGGAAGCCUGCUGAGAGGCGGGUGUGCCCGAAAGGGAACCGGAACACAGGUGCUGCAUGGCUGUCGUCAGCUCGUGUCGUGAGAUGUUGGGUUAAGUCCCGCAACGAGCGCAACCCUUGUCAUUAGUUGCUACAUUCAGUUGGGCACUCUAAUGAGACUGCCGGUGACAAACCGGAGGAAGGUGGGGAUGACGUCAAGUCCUCAUGGCCCUUAUGGGUAGGGCUUCACACGUAAUACAAUGGCGCGUACAGAGGGCUGCUAAGCCGCGAGGUAGAGCCAAUCCCUUAAAGCGCGUCGUAGUCCGGAUUGCAGUCUGCAACUCGA